rnacentral:rRNA from 1 species
GUUGGCUUGGAAGCAGCCAUUCAUUUAAAGAGUGCGUAACAGCUCACUAGUCGAGCGAUCUGGCGUGGAUAAUAAUCGGGCAUAAACGAUCUGCCGAAGCCGUGGAUGUCGCAAGACAUGGUAGGGGAGCAUUCCAUGCGGCGUCGAAGAUGAGGGAUGACCCUUGUUGGAGCGCAUGGAAAAGCAAAUGUAGGUAUGAGUAACGAUAAGGGGGGCGAGAAACCCCCCCGCCGAAAGACCAAGGUUUCCUGAUCAACGCUAAUCGGAUCAGGGUGAGUCGGGACCUAAGGCAAAGCCGAACGGCGCCGCCGAUGGAAGAAUGGGUUAAUAUUCCCAUACUGCCUCAUGGAGUGACGUGGAGACGGAGAAGUGACAGUCCUGCCGGCUGACGGAAUAGCCGGUUGAAGGGUGUAGGUGUCGAUCGCGGUAGGCAAAUCCGCCGCGAGAGCCGAACCUGACAGUAUACGGAGCGCUUGCGCAACGUAAUAUGGACGUAACCAUGCUCCCAAGAAAAUCCGCUAAACUUAUCCAUGCGGCACCCGUACCGUAAACGGACACACGUGGUCGGGUUGAGAAUACUGAGGCGCUCGAGUGAUUCACGGUUAAGGAACUAGGCAAAUUGACCCUGUAACUUCGGGAUAAAGGGUCCCAACGAGAGUUGGGCGCAGAGAAUAGGUCCAGGCAACUGUUUAACAAAAACACAGGGCUGUGCCAAAUUGAAAGAUUACGUAUACAGCCUGACACCUGCCCGGUGCUGGAAGGUUAAGAGGAGAUGUCAUCGCAAGAGAAGCAUUGAAUUGAAGCCCCAGUAAACGGCGGCCGUAACUAUAACGGUCCUAAGGUAGCGAAAUUCCUUGUCGGGUAAGUUCCGACCUGCACGAAUGGUGUAAUGAUCUGGACGCUGUCUCAACCGUGAGCUCAGUGAAAUUGUAGUAUCGGUGAAGAUGCCGAUUACCCGCGAUGGGACGAAAAGACCCCGUGAACCUUUACUAUAGCUUAACAUUGAAUUUGGGUAAUUGAUGUGUAGGAUAGGCCGGAGGCUUCGAAGCAGGUACGCCAGUAUUUGUGGAGCCGCUGUUGAAAUACGGCCCUUUGAUUAUUUGAGUUCUAACCCGCGGCUGCGGGGACACUGUUUGGUGGGUAGUUUGACUGGGGUGGUCGCCUCCAAAAGUGUAACGGAGGCUUCUAAAGGUGCCCUCACGACGAUUGGUAACCGUCGGCAGAGUGUAAUGGCAUAAGGGCGCUUGACUGGGAGACUAACAAGUCGAUCAGGUAGGAAACUAGAGCAUAGUGAUCCGGUGUUUCUGUAUGGAAAGGACAUCGCUCAAAGGAUAAAAGGUACUCCGGGGAUAACAGGCUGAUCCCUCCCA